UAAAGCGUGCGCAGGCGGUUUUGUAAGACUGUCGUGAAAUCCCCGGGCUCAACCUGGGAAUGGCGAUGGUGACUGCAAGGCUAGAGUUUGGCAGAGGGGGGUAGAAUUCCACGUGUAGCAGUGAAAUGCGUAGAUAUGUGGAGGAACACCGAUGGCGAAGGCAGCCCCCUGGGUCAAAACUGACGCUCAUGCACGAAAGCGUGGGGAGCAAACAGGAUUAGUACCCUUGU
rnacentral:rRNA from 1 species